AAAGUAAGGCGCCAAGAGGUUAAAUCACUGCCCAAGUUGCACACUGAGUAAGAGGAAGAGUUGGAAUUUGAACCCAGAUCAUCUGGAUCCAGAGAAACAUCUUGGCGGUUACCAGCUACUAUUACUGGAAGUGUGAUUCUUGAAGCUAACAUUAGGUUUUUCUUCAACUGAUAACUCAGUUCUUUGGCGGUAGUAAAUUAAAACAUCAAUAAGUUUGGAACAUGUAAAAUACAAAGAAGUCUUCAUUCUCUGUAAUCUAUCCUACCCAUUAAAUAUCAAUUUCUUAAAUGA